rnacentral:rRNA from 1 species
GUCGAGCGGUACAGAUCUAGCUUGCUAGAUGCUGACGAGCGGCGGACGGGUGAGUAAUGCAUAGGAAUCUGCCCGGUAGUGGGGGAUAACCUGGGGAAACCCAGGCUAAUACCGCAUACGUCCUACGGGAGAAAGGGGGCUUCGGCUCCCGCUAUUGGAUGAGCCUAUGUCGGAUUAGCUAGUUGGUGAGGUAAAGGCUCACCAAGGCAACGAUCCGUAGCUGGUCUGAGAGGAUGAUCAGCCACAUCGGGACUGAGACACGGCCCGAACUCCUACGGGAGGCAGCAGUGGGGAAUAUUGGACAAUGGGGGCAACCCUGAUCCAGCCAUGCCGCGUGUGUGAAGAAGGCCCUCGGGUUGUAAAGCACUUUCAGCGAGGAAGAACGCCUAGUGGUUAAUACCCAUUAGGAAAGACAUCACUCGCAGAAGAAGCACCGGCUAACUCCGUGCCAGCAGCCGCGGUAAUACGGAGGGUGCAAGCGUUAAUCGGAAUUACUGGGCGUAAGCGCGCGUAGGUGGCUUGAUAAGCCGGUUGUGAAAGCCCCGGGCUCAACCUGGGAACGGCAUCCGGAACUGUCAGGCUAGAGUGCAGGAGAGGAAGGUAGAUUUCCCGGUGUAGC